rnacentral:rRNA from 1 species
UGGCGGCAGGCUUAACACAUGCAAGUCGAGCGGGCGUAGCAAUACGUCAGCGGCAGACGGGUGAGUAACGCGUGGGAACGUACCUUUUGGUUCGGAACAACCCAGGGAAACUUGGGCUAAUACCGGAUAAGCCCUUACGGGGAAAGAUUUAUCGCCGAAAGAUCGGCCCGCGUCUGAUUAGCUAGUUGGUGGGGUAAUGGCCCACCAAGGCGACGAUCAGUAGCUGGUCUGAGAGGAUGAUCAGCCACAUUGGGACUGAGACACGGCCCAAACUCCUGCGGGAGGCAGCAGUGGGGAAUAUUGGACAAUGGGCGCAAGCCUGAUCCAAGCCAUGCCGCGUGAGUGAUGAAGGCCCUAGGGUUGUAAAGCUCUUUUGUGCGGGAAGAUAAUGACGGUACCGCAAGAAUAAGCCCCGGCUAACUUCGUGCCAGCAGCCGC